UACAGAGGGUGCGAGCGUUGUCCGGAAUCACUGGGCGUAAAGGGCGCGUAGGUGGCGACCCAAGUCGAUGGUGAAAGCUCGCCGCUCAACGGCGAGUCGGCCACUGAUACUGGGUUGCUCGAGCACUGUAGAGGCAGAUGGAAUUCCGGGUGUAGCGGUGGAAUGCGUAGAGAUCCGGAAGAACACCGGUGGCGAAGGCGGCAUCCUGGACCAACACUGACGCUGAGGAGCGAAAGCCAGGGGAGCAAACAGG
rnacentral:rRNA from 1 species